rnacentral:miRNA from 1 species
CUGGUCAGGUGGGGCUUUAAGA